rnacentral:misc_RNA from 1 species
GAUGAAGAACGCAGUGAAAUGCGAAAAGUAAUGUGAAUUGCAGAAUUCAGUGAACCAUCGAAUCUUUGAACGCACAUUGCGCCCGCUGGAACUCCGGCGGGCACGCCUGUCCGAGCGUCAUUUCAACCCUCAGGCCCCCCUUCGCGGGCGGGCCUGGUGUUGGGGCCCGGCCGCUACCCUGCGGCCGUCCCCUAAAUUCAGUGGCGGCCUCGCCGUGAUCCCUUGCGUAGUAAUGCACCUCGCACCGGAGAGCGCCGUGGCCACGCCGUAAAACCCCCAAUUUUCAAUGGUUGACCUCGGAUCAGGUGGGAAUACCCGCUGAACUUAAGCAUAUCAUAAGCGGAGGA